rnacentral:snRNA from 1 species
AUACUUACCUGGCAGGGGAGACACCAUGAUCAGGCAGGUGGUUUUCCCAGGGCGAGGCUCAUCCCCUGCACUCCGGGUGUGCUGACCCCUGCGAUUUCCCCAAAUGCNNNNN